rnacentral:lncRNA from 1 species
UUUUUAUAUUGUUAAUAGAGACAGGGUUUCACCAUAUUGGCCAGGCUGGUCUCGAAUCCCAGCUACUCAGGAGGCUGAGGCAGGAGAAUAGUUUGAACCUGGGAGGCAGAGGUUGCGGUGAGCUGAGAUCAUGCCAUUGCACUUCAGCCUUGACAACAGGGGCAAAACUCCAUCUCAAGAAAAAUAAAUAAAUUUUAAAAAUAAAUAAACUGGCUUUGUAUCCCGCAUACACGGUCUCCAU